UAUUAUGGAGCCCCAGCCCUGGGCAGGAAA
rnacentral:piRNA from 1 species